CCUACGGGUGGCAGCAGUGAGGAAUAUUGGUCAAUGGACGAGAGUCUGAACCAGCCACGUAGCGUGAAGGAUGACUGCCCUAUGGGUUGUAAACUUCUUUUAUAGAGGAAUAAAACGAGGCACGUGUGCCUUUUUGCAUGUACUUUAUGAUUAAGGCUCGGCUAACUCCGUGCCAGCAGCCGCGGUAAUACGGAGGAUCCGAGCGUUAUCCGGAUUUAUUGGGUUUAAAGGGAGCGUAGAUGGGUUGUUAAGUCAGUUGUGAAAGGUUGCGGCUCAACCGUAAAAUUGCAAUUGAUACUGGCAGGCUGGAGUACAGUUGAGGUAGGCGGAAUUCGUGGUGUAGCGGUGAAAUGCGUAGAUAUCACGAAGAACACCGGUUGCGAAGGCAGCUUACUAAACUGUAACUGACAUUGAUGCUCGAAAGUGUGGGGAGCAAACAGGAUUAGAUACCCCUGUAGUC
rnacentral:rRNA from 1 species